rnacentral:rRNA from 1 species
UCAAGUUACAAAGGGCGCAGGGCGGAUGCCUUGGCACCAGGAGCCGAAGAAGGACGUGAUAAGCUGCGAAAAGCUGCGGGGAGGAGCAAAUAUCCAUUGAUCCGCAGGUAUCCGAAUGGGGAAACCCGGCAGAAAGAACUUCUGUCACCGUAUGAUGAAUCCAUAGUCAUACGGAGGGAACCCGGCGAACUGAAACAUCUAAGUAGCCGGAGGAAGAGGAAGAAACAUCGAAUCCCUAAGUAGUGGCGAGCGAAAGGGGACGAAGCCCAAACCAAGGAUUUAUCCUUGGGGUAGAGGACCACAUACGAAGAAGCAGUAGGUAGCAGAACGGUUUUGGGAAAGCCGGCUGGAGAGAGUGAAAGCCUCGUAUGCGAAACAGACUGUUAUUCAGUGGUAUCCGGAGUACUACGGGACACGAGAAACCCCGUAGGAAGCAGGGGGGACCACCCCCCAAGGCGAAAUACUACCUGGUGACCGAUAGAGUAUAGUACCGUGAGGGAAAGGUGAAAAGAACCCCGGGAGGGGAGUGAAAGAGAACCUGAAACCCUGUGUCUACAAGCUGCGGAAGAGCGACUAACGCUCGACCGUGUACUUUUUGUAGAACGGUCCGGCGAGUUGCCGUUGCUGGCAGGUUAAGUACUUAAGGUACGGAGCCGAAGGGAAACCAAGUCUUAACAGGGCGGUAAGUCAGUAACGGCAGACCCGAAACCGGGUGACCUACCCAUGGCCAGGAUGAAGUCUGCGUAAAAGUGGAUGGAGGUCCGAACACACGUCUGUUGAAAAAGGCGGUGAUGAGCUGUGGGUAGCGGAGAAAUUCCAAUCGAACUCGGAGAUAGCUGGUUCUCCCCGAAAUAGCUUUAGGGCUAGCCUCGGUAUAGUCUAAUGGAGGUAGAGCACUGAAUCGCUGCGGGGGCGUCAAAGUCUACCAAUGCGUAUCAAACUCCGAAUGCCAUAUAGAUGUUUACCGGGAGUCAGACUGUAUGAGAUAAGUCGGACAGUCAAAAGGGAAACAGCCCAGACCAUCUGCUAAGGUCCCAAAGUGUAUGUUAAGUGGUAAAGGAUGUGGGGUUUCGAAGACAACUAGGAUGUUGGCUCAGAAGCAGCCAUUCAUUCAAAGAGUGCGUAAUAGCUCACUAGUCGAGAGGUCCUGCGCCGAAAAUGUCCGGGGCUGAAACAUAACACCGAAGCAAUGGAAUAUACCGUAAGGUAUGUUGGUAGGGGAGCAUUGAUAACACGAAGAAGCGGUACCGUAAGGAGCCGUGGAGAGUUAUCAAGAGAGAAUGCCGGAAUGAGUAGCGAGAUGAAGGUGAGAAUCCUUCAGGCCGUAUAUCCAAGGUUUCCAGGGUAAAGCUGAUCUUCCCUGGGGAAGUCGGGACCUAAGCUCAGGCUGAGAAGCGUAGGCGAUGGACAACUGGUUGAUAUUCCAGUACCUCUGGCUGUCAGAAAUGUGGGGACACGGAAAUUCAGGAAGUGCCUGUAAAGGAUUCAGGUGCAAGCAUGGUUUAUGCCGGGCAGGCAAAUCCGCCCGGGUAAGUGGACUGUGUGAUGCGGACCGAAAUAUAAGUAGGGAAGCUUCUGGGAGAGCCGUCGAGAAAAGCCGCUAUUGUGCAGCCAGAGCCCGUACCGUAAACCGACACAGGUGGAUGGGGAGAGUAUCCCAAGGCCGGCGGGAGAAGCAUUGUUAAGGAACUCGGCAAAAUGGCCCCGUAAGUUCGCGAUAAGGGGUGCCUGUAGAGAUACAGGCCGCAGAGAAUAGGCUCAAGCAACUGUUUAGCAAAAACACAGGUCUAUGCGAAACCGUAAGGUGAUGUAUAUGGGCUGACGCCUGCCCGGUGCUGGAAGGUUACGGGGAGUGCUUAGGAGCAAUCCGAAGGUACGAACUUAAGCCCCAGUAAACGGCGGCCGUAACUAUAACGGUCCUAAGGUAGCGAAAUUCCUUGUCGGGUAAGUUCCGACCCGCACGAAAGGCGUAA